rnacentral:rRNA from 1 species
UGAGGAAUAUUGGUCAAUGGACGCAAGUCUGAACCAGCCAAGUAGCGUGCAGGAUGACGGCCCUAUGGGUUGUAAACUGCUUUUAUAUGGGGAUAAAGUGGGGAACGUGUUCCCUUUUGCAGGUACCAUAUGAAUAAGGACCGGCUAAUUCCGUGCCAGCAGCCGCGGUAAUACGGAAGGUUCGGGCGUUAUCCGGAUUUAUUGGGUUUAAAGGGUGCGUAGGCCGUUUGGUAAGCGUGUUGUGAAAUGUAGGAGCUCAACUUCUAGAUUGCAGCGCGAACUGUCAGACUUGAGUGCGCACAACGUAGGCGGAAUUCAUGGUGUAGCGGUGAAAUGCUUAGAUAUCAUGAAGAACUCCGAUUGCGAAGGCAGCUUACGGGAGCGCAACUGACGCUGAAGCUCGAAGGUGCGGGUAUCGAACAGG